rnacentral:rRNA from 1 species
AACGAACGCUGGCGGCGUGUUUAAGACAUGCAAGUCGCACGGGAUAAGACAUGUAGUAAUACUUGUUUUAUUUAGUGGCGCACGGGUGAGUAACACGUGAAUUACAUGCCCUAUAGUGGGGAAUAGCCCAGGGAAACUUGGAUUAAUACCCCAUGGUAUCGAAAGAUUAAAGGUGGCCGCAAGGCUGUCGCUAUAGGAUUGGUUCGCGCCCUAUCAGCUUGUUGGUGAGGUAACGGCUCACCAAGGCGACGACGGGUACCUGGUCUGAGAGGACGAUCAGGCACACUGGGACUGAGACACGGUCCAGGCACGUGCGGGUGGCAGCAGUCGGGAAUAAUUUACAAUGGUGGCAACCCUGAUGGUGCAACGCCGGGUGGAGGAUGACGGUCUUCGGAUUGUACACUCCUGUUAUCUGGGAGAAAGACCUGACGGUAAAUAGCCGGCAGGGUUGAUAGUACCAGAAGAGGAAGGGACGGCUAACUUCGUGCCAGCCGCCGCGGUAA